UGUAGUGUCACAUUGUGUGGCACCACAUUCUGCAAUUAUCCUUAAUUUCUGAGCAUGAGUGUAGAACUCACUGUCACAUGAGAACCACUGAAAGACUCAUGGAGUUUCUGAAUGUAGCCUGACCCAUUGCUGCAUAAAUCCACUCAUGUGAACCCAGCUAGUAAAUCUGGAUCAGGUGUUCCAAGAAUUGCAGCUGACGGUCUCAAGGUCAUGUCUCCACCAAUUUAUAGGCGAAGAAUGCAGGUGUACCAGAAUCUGUUGAAAAUAUAUGUGGUCCAUCCCUAACAUCCACUCGUGUCUGACCAGCAAAUGCAGCAUUAUGCAGAUAGUCCAGUGCAAGACCCUGUCAUGAGCCCAUUUUGGGUUAUAGCACAUUAACAUUAUUAUUAUUAUUAUUAUUAUUAUUAUUAUUGUGUCAUAAAUAUGAAUCAAACAGCAAAGGUCCUUCCAACACCUAAAGGUUAGAAAAUGUGUAGAAGGAAAAAAGAAGUUUCUGUUAAACUGGAGAAGGGAACCUACACUCAUCUGAAGAGAUCAGUAGAUAGAAUAUGAUUGCAAAAUUUUACACAGGUUCUACAUAAAAUAAUUUUGUAUGUUUCGAAGAGUAGUGGCUGUCAUAAGUUAUCUUUCUCUAACAGCAGUAUCGGUACCCUGCUGCAACAUUUGAAUACCUCCAAAGCUUCUCCUAAUAGUCAGAUCAAUAAUAAUGCCAACUUCCACUGUUGGCAAAAUCCAUUGUCCAGAGAAGUGUGUAACAAUGUGCACAAGAGAUGUGCAGGUGUUCAGCAAAACUGCAGGAGAAGGCUUUCUAGACCUUGCACAAACACUGCCAGAAAUGGAGCACAGUACCCCAAUGCAAGUGCAAGAGACAUGCUUCAUUACCCGCCAACAAUUUCUCUGAAAUGUUGCAGGACAUAGAGAGUCUUGUGUUUGCAUAUACAAUUGACAUGUGGACAUAAGCGUACACUAAAAUGCAUUACUUGACUCUUACUAUGCAUUCAGUCUCAUGAGAAUUGCAGUGCAAAACUCAGGUCCUGUUCGUUGGAUAGCUUCCAUCUGAUAUGGAGAAAAGUACUACAAAUAUACUGGACGAAACUGAAACUAACAUGAGCAAGUUAAGGAUAUUUGCAAGCCACCUGUAGAGGAUGACUGGCCAGGGGGGCAAACAUGAAAAAGGCACAAGAGAACUAUUGUCAUUUUCCAUAUAACAAGCACUCCUUCAGGACUUUUCUGUGCCACGCCCUUGAGGACAAAUGCUUGCAGGUAUCCUGCCUUAAAGUUUAUGCACAAUUGGAAUCAAUGAAAAAUGUCAUAAAUUAUUUAAAAAGAAGUGACCUUGCAAAACUCAUAGUUUACCGUAAAGCAGCACACUAAGACUUUGCUGGAAUACCUUGUGUACCAUGCUAAAAUGCGUGUUUAUGGAGCAUGAACAAAUUGCUGAAUUUUUAUGUGACUUCAGAAAACCACACAUGUCUGGGAGCUGGGAUUGCCAAGUAAGGUGACAAAUUAAUUCAGUUUCUCUAACUACUUCAAACACUAUUGAAGCUGACAGUCGUCUGAUGCAGCAGUUGCUUAUGCCAUUGGUGUACCAGGUUCAGGAACACUGUGCUGAUAAUGCAGCUAACAGUAAGGUAAGCACUCUCACAUAUAAAAUGAUGCAUUUACAAACAAAUAAAAUUUAUACUUUGGUUAAUCACCCAAAACUGGAUAAGAGAUCAUAUUCAACGAAGAUGGUGUGCCUCAAUAUUGUUAAACAUUUGCAGGAAACAGCAUUGCUGAAGGCAUGCUCAAAUACCUUAAUUGAAAAAAAUGGAAAUAAAGCCAGUGCUUUUGUUUGCAUUAUUUCUAGUACCACAGUUGCAUCAGCUAGAGCAACUCUCAGUAACUGAGAGAGGGAAGUUUAUGCCACAGAAAAUUCCAAACGUGCUGCGUUUCAAGAAAGUCAUACAGAGAACAUGCAGAAAGAAUGUCUUUUCAUUGUGAGUGGAAGGGGAGGAAACUAUCAAAGACAUUUCCAUGUGUCUGUUGAUGGGAAUACCAGAUGAGAGGCAGUCGUUUCUGAAGUGGUGGAAGUCAAGAGCAAAAUCUUAUCCCAGACUGUCACAAGUGGCAGAAGAAGUUCUGUGUACAGCUACCUCAAGUGCCUCUAGUGAGAGCGUAUUUAGUGGAGAUGGGCUUGUCAUUAUGGAUAAAUAUAAUGGGAUGUAUAUGGAAAAUGUGAAUGACUUGCUUACAUUCUAUUUUUGUUAUUAUAAAUAUCUAACGUCUCAACUGUUUGUUUCAGGUAUAAAUUCAUUGUGAAGGUGAUUACAACAUUACCAGAUGAAGACUACUUCUUUAUUUAGUUGAAGCAAGGAAGUUUACAAUAAACUUCACGAGUUUCUUGUCUGAA